UUUAAUUUUUAUAAUUAACCCAGACAAAAUAAUUAAAUAAGAGUUGUUUAAAAUUUUUCCUCUGGCGAGCACACAUCAGCCUAAGCCAAUGGAAAAGCUUUACCUUUUACGGCUCACCGAAGCAACAAAGUCAAAGUACGCACGGGGUUGGAGGUCUAAACCCCCCCCCCCAAAAUAAAAGGAGGGGGGGCCAUAACUCUUGUUAAUGAUCCUUCCGCAGGUUCACCUACGGAAA
rnacentral:misc_RNA from 1 species